rnacentral:rRNA from 1 species
GACGGAGGAGGCAAGCGUUAUCCGGAAUUAUUGGGCGUAAAGCGUCCGCAGGCGGUUGUUUAAGUCUGUUGUCAAAGGUCACAGCUCAACUGUGGAUCGGCAAUGGAAACUGGAUGACUUGAGUGUGGUAGGGGUAGAGGGAAUUCCCGGUGUAGCGGUGAAAUGCGUAGAUAUCGGGAAGAACACCAGUGGCGAAGGCGCUCUACUGGGCCACAACUGACGCUGAGGGACGAAAGCUAGGGGAGCGAAAGGG